rnacentral:rRNA from 1 species
GAUGAACGCUGGCGGCGUGCCUAAUACAUGCAAGUCGAGCGAACGGACGAGAAGCUUGCUUCUCUGAUGUUAGCGGAGGACGGGUGAGUAACACGUGGAUAACCUACCUAUAAUACUGGGAUAACUUCGGGAAACCGGAGCUAAUACCGGAUGAUAUUUUGAACCGCAUGGUUCAAAAGUGAAAGACGGUCUUGCUGUCACUUAUCGAUGGAUCCGCGCUGCAUUAGCUAGUUGGUAAGGUAACGGCCUACCAAGGCAACGAUGCCUAGCCGACCUGAGAGGGUGAUCGGCCACACUGGAACUUGGACACGGUCCAGACGCCUACGGGAGGCAGCAGUAGGGAACCUUCCGCAAAGGGCGAAAGCCUGACGGAGCAACGCCGCGUGAGUGAUGAAGGUCUUCGGAUCGUAAAACUCUGUUAUUAGGGAAGAACAUAUGUGUAAGUAACUGUGCACAGCUUGACGGUACCUAAUCAGAAAGCCACGGCUAACUACGUG